rnacentral:rRNA from 1 species
UUUCCGAAUGGGGGAACCCACUAUCUUUAGUCGGAUAGUAUCCUUACGUGAAUACAUAGCGUGAGGAAGGCAGACCCAGGGAACUGAAACAUCUAAGUACCUGGAGGAAGAGAAAGAAAAAUCGAUUUCCUGAGUAGCGGCGAGCGAAACGGAAAGAGCCCAAACCAAGAAGCUUGCUUCUUGGGGUUGUAGGACACUCUAUACGGAGUUACAAAAGAAAGUUAUAAAUGAAGCGGUCUGGAAAGGCCCGCCAAAGACGGUAACAGCCCGGUAGUUGAAAUGGCUUUCCCUCCAGAGUGGAUCCUGAGUACGGCGGAACACGUGAAAUUCCGUCGGAAUCCGGGAGGACCAUCUCCCAAGGCUAAAUACUCCCUAGUGACCGAUAGUGAACCAGUACCGUGAGGGAAAGGUGAAAAGCACCCCGGAAGGGGAGUGAAACAGUUCCUGAAACCGUGUGCCUACAAGUAGUUAGAGCCCGUUAAUGGGUGAUAGCGUGCCUUUUGUAGAAUGAACCGGCGAGUUACGAUUUGUUGCAAGGUUAAGCGGAAAAAGCGGAGCCGUAGCGAAAGCGAGUCUGAAUAGGGCGCAUAAGUAACAGGUCGUAGACCCGAAACCAGGUGAUCUACCCAUGUCCAGGAUGAAGGUAAGGUAAUACUUACUGGAGGUCCGAACCCACGCACGUUGAAAAGUGCGGGGAUGAGGUGUGGGUAGCGGAGAAAUUCCAAUCGAACUUGGAGAUAGCUGGUUCUCUCCGAAAUAGCUUUAGGGCUAGCCUCGAGGUAAAGAGUCAUGGAGGUAGAGCACUGUUUGGACUAGGGGCCCUUCUCGGGUUACCGAAUUCAGAUAAACUCCGAAUGCCAUGUACUUAUACUCGGGAGUCAGACUGCGAGUGAUAAGAUCCGUAGUCGAAAGGGAAACAGCCCAGACCACCAGUUAAGGUCCCCAAAUAUAUGUUAAGUGGAAAAGGAUGUGGGGUUGCUUAGACAACCAGGAUGUUGGCUUAGAAGCAGCCACCAUUGAAAGAGUGCGUAAUAGCUCACUGGUCGAGUGACCCCGCGCCGAAAAUGUACCGGGGCUAAACAUAUUACC